rnacentral:rRNA from 1 species
AGUGAACGCUGGCGGCGUGCCUAAUACAUGCAAGUCGAACGGAGUGGCGCACGGGUGAGUAAUAUAUCGCUAAUCUGCCCCUUGCUGGAGGACAACAGCUAGAAAUGACUGCUAAUAAUCCAUAGCGAGGGAUGAGUCUAUAUCGUAUCAGAUAGUCGGUGGGGUAACGGUCUACCGAGGGUAUGACGCGUAACUGGUCUGAGAGGAGGAUAAGUCACAGUGGAACUGAGACACGGUCCAAACUCCUACGGGAGGGAGCAGUAGGGAAUAUUGCGCAAGGGGGGAAACCCUGGCGGAGCUACGCCGCGUGGAGUAUGACACUUUUCGGAGCGGAAACUCCGUUUGUUAGGGAAGCGGUACCUAACGAAUAAGCACCGGCUAACUCCGUGCCAGCAGCCGCGGUAAUUC